rnacentral:rRNA from 1 species
GGAUAACCUGCCCUUGGGUCCGGCAUAACCCCGGGAAACUGGGGAUAAUUCCGGAUAACGCACAUAUGCUGGAAUGCUUUAUGCGUAAAAUGGAUUCGUCUGCCCAAGGAUGGGUCUGCGGCCUAUCAGGUAGUAGUGGGUGUAAUGUACCUACUAGCCGACGACGGGUACGGGUUGUGAGAGCAAGAGCCCGGAGAUGGAUUCUGAGACAUGAAUCCAGGCCCUACGGGGCGCAGCAGGCGCGAAAACUUUACAAUGCGGGAAACCGUGAUAAGGGGACACCGAGUGCCAGCAUCAUAUGCUGGCUGUCCAGGUGUGUAAAAUACACCUGUUAGCAAGGGCCGGGCAAGACCGGUGCCAGCCGCCGCGGUAACACCGGCGGCCCGAGUGGUGAUCGUGAUUAUUGGGUCUAAAGGGUCCGUAGCCGGUUUGGUCAGUCCUCCGGGAAAUCUGACGGCUCAACCGUUAGGCUUUCGGGGGAUACUGCCAGGCUUGGAACCGGGAGAGGUAAGAGGUACUACAGGGGUAGGAGUGAAAUCUUGUAAUCCCUGUGGGACCACCUGUGGCGAAGGCGUCUUACCAGAACGGGUUCGACGGUGAGGGACGAAAGCUGGGGGCACGAACCGGAUUAGAUACCCGGGUAGUCCCAGCCGUAAACGAUGCUCGCUAGGUGUCAGGCAUGGCGCGACCGUGUCUGGUGCCGCAGGGAAGCCGUGAAGCGAGCCACCUGGGAAGUACGGCCGCAAGGCUGAAACUUAA